GAACUCAACCCAGGGCACUGCUGGGCUAGCAGUGUGAUGCCUACAAGUGAGCUCUGACUGACCUGUCCUCUGUCCUGGACCUGGGGAUUGUUGAAGAGACCUCCGAUGGCAUGUCUUGGGCUGUACCGAUGAGUGUCCGAACUGUGUGCCAACUGAUGGAACAGACAGUUCGGUACCUUCAACACAUCAACACCUCGCACAAAGACUAAUAUUGAUGCAGUCAAUCUCUCCUCAACCUCAACAGGUGUCGACGGCAGGGCAACGUUGGAAUGGUAACGUUUAAAGACAAAAGCAUUGGCGAGCCAGCAAGGGACGGGGACAUAG
ensembl:lncRNA